GCAUCUGUAGCUCAAUUGGAUAGAGCGAGGGCCUUCUAACCCCAAGGUUGCAGGUUCGAGUCCUGCCAGAUGCACCA
rnacentral:tRNA from 1 species